GGCUCAGGAUGAACGCUGGCGGCGUGCCUAACACAUGCAAGUCGAACGGACUAUCAAGUGAUGUCUCGGACUGAACUUUUAGUUUAGUGGCGGACGGGUGAGUAACGCGUGGACAACCUGCCUCUCACUGGGGGGAUAGCAGCUGGAAACGGCUGGUAAUACCGCAUGCGUUCAAUGUGCCGCAUGACACAUUGAAGAAAGAUUUAUCGGUGAGAGAUGGGUCCGCGUCUGAUUAGCCAGUUGGCGGGUAACGGCCACCAAAGCGACGAUCAGUAGCCGGCCUGAGAGGGCGGACGGCCACAUUGGGACUGAGACACGGCCCAGACUCCUACGGGAGGCAGCAGUGGGGGGUAUUGCACAAUGGGCGCAAGCCUGAUGCAGCGACGCCCGCGUGAGUGAAGAAGUAUUUCGGUAUGUAAAGCUCUAUCAGCAGGGAAGAAAGGCCCGCAAGGGAGAUGACGGUACCUGACUAAGAAGCCCCGGCUAACUACGUGCCAGCCGCUGC
rnacentral:rRNA from 1 species